UGGAGGUGGGAACCUGCUCCGUGCCUGACACCAAGGCCCUUAAAUGUGUCACAGCCCAGCUGUGUAGGACAGUGGUCACUGCCGUCACCACAAGACAGAGACCCGGUCUGUCAAAGUACAACUGGAAGUCCCAUCCAGACAACCUGGGAGCCCCUCUCCCUGGUGACCUUGUGGGCCGGAAGCUGAGCGUGCAGGGACAGAGGCUAACGAGGAUGAACCACAUUCCCGGCUGCGCCUCAGCCGGUGUUUUCAUGAAGGAUCGUUAGGAACCUCGUGUUAUUAGUGCAUGAGCAAAGAAGGCUUCCCAGGGUGAAACCCACAGCCAGAACUGGGAUGAGAGUGACAGUGACUUUGGAGCAGCAUGGCCCCCUCUGUGGCCGUACCCAUGGGAGUGCCGUCAGGGUCCUGGGCCCUCCCUUGGCAGCCAGUCUAGCGGAUCUUGAAGACGUGGUGUGGAGGGGGGUUGCUGGGUGACCCCCUCCUCCUGGCUGGUCUCGCUUUAAGUAUUUUCAUUGCUUUGAAAGUGGUAGCAGGACCUUCUGUUCUAAAAUAGAGCAAAUCAGAGCAGCGUCUGUACAAGCCAAUCCCGCGCUGCUUCUCCCGAUCAGCUUGUCCAUGGAACAGACCCUGGUACCAAAGCAGUUCCCCUCUCAGCUGUUUGCUGCCUGGAGACGUCACCUGGCACGAAGACAGUGUUCGGUGCCGGUGAUUACCCCCCGCAUCACCUUCUUCUCAGCAGUGGGGCAGGAUGGAAGGGGAGUGUGGAGGCGCAAACUCGUAGCUUGUGCAGCAGUGAAGCUCUGGCAGGCCUAGGUGCUCCGGGAGCACAUUGUAGCAGCCAGCAGGCCUCCAGUUCCUGUUCUGCGUGCAGUCAAGGUGACUGGUCCUAAACAAUACGUGCAAGAGAGAACCCUUGCCAUUCAAAGGAAAAAGCAUUUUGAGUUGACACUUGAAGGUGUUACUGUUUUAAAAGAAGGGAAGGGAAGAAGCUGGGCUCUGGGACUCACGUCUGAGACCUGCGGGAAUCAGACCAGCUGGGCGGGACGGAGGGAACUUGGGGAAGCAGAUCGUCCUGCUGUCUUUCCUGUCCUUAAAGGAUCCUUCUGUGUGUUUGCUUUUCCAGCUGUGCAGGACCCACCGAAAACAACCCCGGAAAGCCCCUCUUUUCUCUCACUCAGGAUGUCCCGUGAUUCUGAAGCUCUCACAUGAGUCCCUUCAGGCAGUUUCAAGUAUUUUCUUUCAGCGUUUGGCUCUCUUCCAUAAAAAGUCCAAAUAAACACUUCGACCACCCUUUACUUUUGGGGGGACACUGAGAAGAAAGACAGAGUCAAGCUAACUGUUCUAAAUACCAGAGAAGGAGAGACAUUCUGGGUUCCAUAGGCAAUUUGGGUGGUUUUAGCUUUCCCUUCUUCCAUAUUUAUUUGACAGAGAGAGAGAGCACGAGCAGGGGGAGCGACAGGGGGAGCGACAGGAGGAGGAGGAGGAGGAGCAGGCUCCUCGCGGAGCAGAGAGCCUGGCCUGAGCCACCCGGGCGCCCUCCCUUCUUGCGUGUUUAUAUGUAGCACAACCAAGCGCAGUUAGGGAAGAGGGCUGUUCCAGACCCUGAGAUGCACUACUUAAGAAAGACUGGGCCAGAACAGGUAGUUGAAAAUUUAAGAUCAGAUAAAAAGACAUUCCUCAUCACUGCCUCUAAAAUGUAGUCCAUUUUCUCCGCAGUUAAACGGUAUUUUUAAAGCUGAAGUGAAGUGGGCUGAUGUGGAGGCAGAGGGGGGAGGCAUAGUGGCGCAGGAAGGGGCCUCUUCACUGUGACCAUCCCUCUAGGUUAAGGGUCUGCAGACAGACCUGGGGAGCGAAUCCCAGCUCACUGCCCAUUUUCUAAAUAAAGUUUUACUGAAACACAGUCAUGCCCAUCUGUUCUUUGUGGCUGUUUUCAUUCAGCAGGGACAAGUAGAUGCAGCAGAGACCAUAUGGCCUGAAAAGCCUAAAAUACUUAAAUGUCUGGCUCUUACAGGAAGGUUUACACACUCCUGCUCAAGGUCCCACGUGCUUGCUUGGGAUGAAAUUUCACAUGUCCUGCUGCCCUGUUGGGUGCAGAUCGGUACGGAGCCCUUUGCGGUUUGCCUGUAAGCAGGUGCACUUGGACCAGCCUCUUUCCAGAAAGAGAUUGUUUCAGUGCCACCUGGCUCCCUGUGGAGGCCCAAUUUCCCAUGGCGCUGGGUCUAGGAAACUACGUAUAACGUGAACCACCCGGGGUGACCUUAAUUGUAUUCCUGACAAUUCUGAGAUAAAAGGCACUAGUAGAUGAUAGAAAAACUUAAAUCCAAGAGCUGUUUCAUAUUAACACGUUAAAGCAAAUGUCAGUUUUAUUCCAGACACCUCCUAACCCGUUCUGCUGUGAUAAAACCCUCGUUGUGUUCCAGUCUUCUGACCUCUGAGCAGCAUCUUUAAGCCCUCCUACUUCAGGCAGGUAGAAGCCUCAGAAUACUAAUGUCCUAAGCCAGUGGUGGGCCCUGCCGUCGCUGAUGUGAAUCCGUAGGACCACACUGGGGAGAGAAUCCUGGGCCGGGGAACUCGGUCUGAUGCACGGAAUCCAGCUGGAGGACCUGGGAAGUGGAACAGAGACCGGAAGUGAAGGAUGGACGAGUCUGAGUGUAUGAUUGCAUGGAAGAGCUCGGGAGGAAACUGGCAAAGUGCUGCUUGCUGAGACCUGGGAGUGAGGGAGGAACGGAGGAGGCAGGCGUGAGUCGGGGAUGGGAAUACCUGGGCGGCCCUGGUGCGGCUGCUCUGGUGAGUGAGCCCCGUCCUGGGAGCCCACGCGUCUCAGCUCCCAGAAGCCACUUGCACAUCCACACGCCCUGCCACACCGGGUGUCGCUCGAUUUUUACGGCUUCGUGGCUGACAGUCUUGCCCCCGCUCACAGAAGAGGAAACUAAGGUUCAGAGAUGUUGGGGACAACUGGGGUGACCCUCUGUCUUGGACUGUCCCCAAAUGAGGAAUUUCCUGCGACUCUGGAUUUGGGAUGUGAAAGCCAGAAUGGUGUCAGGCGACACGGGUCCUCGUAAGUGACAGACCCGGGAGGUAAGACACAGGCCUGCCUGAUGCCUCAGCCUGCAUGGCCUCCACUGGCCGUGUAAACGUGCAAUCGGGGACAUUUCCCUCUGCAGCUGAGCUGCAGUCCUGAGCGCCCUCCUCAUCUGGGGUGAGGCCGGCCUCAGUCCGCAAGCUAGGUGCAGCAAGGCCCGGCCAUCAGCGGGGCCAAGAUUUAAAGAGCUGUCUUCUUAGCCAUCAGGUACUAGAAAGAAUGUGAUUUACAAAACAUUAUUUUAAAAACCUGUUGAAUGUUUGGAUGCUCCGAGUUGCUUUAUCGGUUUGAAAGAGGUUAUACCGUUUGGGCUGGGGACACUCUCCUUUCGUAAGGAAACUGCCAAAGGAUGCUAUUGCUCUAUUUUCUGUCCUUUUUUUUUUUUUUUUUUUUUAAGGAAUAGGAGGUCCUCUGGGGGAACUGAAACCUCACCUGUCGGCUGAAUCUAAACAUCCAUGUGCAAAACCCGCUCCGUCCAUCACGGGCUUUGGGACAGACGUGGCUUCCUUCUGCCACCUCGGAGGUGGCUCUGUUUCCAGCUCUCACCACACGUUGCUGGCUCGUCUUUCCGCUGCCUGCUGCUGAUCGGAGGGAACUACAGUUCCAACAUUUCCUAAGCCCACAGCCCAGGAAAGUCCUGUGUGGCCGUCAAAACCAUCCAGACCCAUGACUGUGGCUUGGGGAAGAUUCCAGAGGUGGGACUCUGGUGGUUUUACUUUUCCAGGCUUCUGAAGCCAAGAGUUUUUUUUUUUCCCCCAAUAUAUCGCAAUCUGUGUUCCUUGGAACCAUAAUGUCCUGCAAAAUAUUAAUAAACAUUUUUAAAGCAUCAUAA